rnacentral:rRNA from 1 species
CAUUAUUGAAUAAACUUGAACAGGCUGUUGCUGGCCCCUCGCAAGAGGGAUAUGUGCACGCUUGUCAUCUUUCACUUUUCCAACUGUGCACUUAUUGUAGACCUGGAGCUUUGGUUAUUUGUAUAUAGAUUGAGGACUGCUGUGCUUUUUAGAGUCAGCUUUGCCUUGCAAUCCCCAGGUCUAUGUUUGUUUUCACAACCUCUGAAUGUGUUUAGAAUGUUGGAUUUGAUAUUAUAUAUACAACUUUCAGCAACGGAUCUCUUGGCUCUCGCAUCGAUGAAGAACGCAGCGAAAUGCGAUAAGUAAUGUGAAUUGCAGAAUUCAGUGAAUCAUCGAAUCUUUGAACGCAUCUUGCGCUCCUUGGUAUUCCGAGGAGCAUGCCUGUUUGAGUGUCAUUAAGUUCUCAACUGCACCAAUCUUUGGAAAGUGUGUAGCUUUGGAUAUGGGGGUUUUCGUUUGCAGGCUUUGUGAAAACGAAGUCAGCUCCCCUGAAAUGUAUUAGUGGUAUCUGAGCAGAGACCUACUACAGGUGUGAUAAAUUAUCUAUACCUUGGUAUGCUGCAUGAACAGAGACUAGGCCACUUCUAAACAAAAACAGAAAAGUUUGACAAAUUUGACCUCAAAUCAGGUAGGACUACCCGCUGAACUUAA